CUCUGUUGCACCCAGGCUGGAGUGCAGUGGCACGAUCUCAGCUCACUGCAACCUCCACCUCCUGGGUUCAAGCGAUUCUCCUGCCUCAGCCUCUUGAGUAGCUGGGAUUACAGGCGCCUGGCUGAUUUUUGUAUUUUUAGUAGAGACAAGGUUUUACCGCGUUGGGCACGCUCAUCUCGAACUCCCAACCUCAGGUGAUCCUCCCACCUCGGCCUCGCAAAGUGCUGGGAUUAUAGGCGUGAGCCACCGCACCCAUCCUGGGUCCAUUUUAUAGAAGAGAAAACUACAGCACAGAGAGGUUAAGUGUCCUCUUCAAGGACACACAGCAGUGCAGAGAGGACCUUGGGGAGGACCCACGAAGCUGUCCUUCCCCAGGCUGGUCUGUAUCAGAGAUCGCCGGGGUUGCUGCUGAGGUCAGAUGAGGAUGGGUUGGGGAGAAGAUGGGUCAUGUCUACAAUUUCCCCUUUGGGGGCCAGUGCAGGCUUCAGCCUGCCAGGCCACUCAGGCUGAACUAAGACCCCAGGCCACUUCCCCUCACUGGGGUCAGCUGUGUCUGGCUAGGCCCAUCAGCCCUCCUGGCUCUCCCGGCUCUGACGACUUGGUUCCUCUUCCUGCCCUUCCCCUCUUUCCUCAUCUGGCAGAGUGGCCCUCUUCUCUGACCAUUCUCUCCCUCUCUAUCCUGCCCCAGGCACUAGAGGCCC
rnacentral:lncRNA from 10 species